GGAGCUCGUCUCAGGGCUCCGCACACAGUAAGCACUCGCUAAACCCCACCGGUGGAUGGAUUGAUUGAUCGGUCGACCGUUCAACCGGAAAGGAUGAUUGAGCGGUAGCGUUGGCGGUUGUGACUUUGGAGACCGUGAAAUUACCCGUCUUGGAUUCGACGUCGACGUUCAAGGGAACGCGGUAAUCCGCUGAUGUUUUCCAGCGGGAGGCCUCCUCCGUCAAGGUGACAGCCUCCUCUUGGAUGAAUUAUUCUUUCUGUAUUUAGAACGCAUACAAUUGUUUUUAGUGAUUUAUCCUUCCGGACCAAUCUCGUUAGUAAACCUCAAUUAGGAAAUGAACCAGGUUCAUGUGCAGAAUUAAAGGAGGGUAAAUGUUGAAGAGUUAGGUGCUUGGAGAUGGCUAUUAAUCUUCUCCGGCCUCCUGGACGCCAUUUAGUGCCCUGCAGUAGAAAUGUCUUCUAUCUUUCAAUUCCUUCUGGUUUUCUGUGCGGUUCUCCUGUUGGAGUCACCCAAGCAUCUAGUCCGGCGCUCCGCACACGAAAUGAAAGAACGCAGCCUAAUCGGGGAUGCUAAAGGGAAUCCUGCAGCGGGAAAGCGAAGCUUAGAGGAAAGAUGAACGAAGAAAUGCCGAAGCGGGACUACGUUUUAUUUACAGAAGAGUUACCGAGAAGUUUACCGGUGACCGCGUGGAAAAGAAGCAGGCCCGUAACAGGGUUUCUGGCCUGCUCCUCUCCUGACCGACAAGCUUCCCUCAUGUCAAGAAGCAGCAUUAUUUUUCCAUGUCGUGGCUGGCCAUUCCCUUUUCAGAAGGCAGCCAAAAGAACACUUAGGAAAAUCCUGUUAAUGGGGCCCAACCUGAAGAAAACAAGUCGCCAGAGAACCAUAUAUGUCAAAGUUGAAGUGGCCAGCAGGCAAUUCACUGCGUCUCCCUAAGAGUUAGGCUAAUUUGCACCGUUUCAACGUUUUCCCUAUAAGGGCCUCAGAGUCCUUUCCGCCUUAUUAGCCAAUUUGUCCUCGGCUCACCCCUCAAGAGACGUUCGCUGAGAUGAACUCUGUUCGUCGGUGGAGAAACGAAGCGGGGCCGGGUUGAAUGAGUUAAGUGAAUAUCCGCGAUGCCCUACUCGCCGCCGCCCUUUCUUCGGCACCCUUCGGGACCCAACGGCUGAACGAACGGUCGCGUGUGCAGGAGUGUAUGUGAAUAAUAUCUAAAUAAAUAAGAACGUGCAGAAGGA